rnacentral:tRNA from 1 species
GCCGGCGUGAUGGAAUUGGCAGACGUGCCGGACUCAAAAUCCGGUGGUAGCAAUACCGUGCGGGUUCGACCCCCGCCGCCGGCACCA